CGGUACCUUUUACUUUCUUGGUGGCACACCUGUUCCUCAUUAGUAAUUAGCUCCUUCAGCUCCACUUGUUUGUUCAUUCAACACGUUUGCUGUUUGUUUGCUGCUACUUCUUUUGUUCCUGGGUUUUGGCUUUCUAUCUGUACAUCGCUGUCCGUCCCUGCAACUCGGGGUCACACCGCCAUGCGUGAUGAGAUUCCGAUGAUAUUCAGGAGGAUAUUAAGAACAACACCACCAACAACACGUUCAAAGGCUGAGGAGAUAAAAAAAAGUCCCCCUGAGGUAAAAGGAUUUCUGGUGUUGGACUGUUGCCUUGCUCAGUGUGCCCUGGCCCUUCCACCUGCCGACCUCUGAGGAAUCUUUUUUGUCCAUAUUACAUGGUUCAUGGACUUCUUGUCCCUGGCUACUAACGUGCGCCACGUGGGACAGAUGGGUAGCCAACCCAUGCUGGCAAGUGACGGCUGGACUGGACGCACCAGUUCCAUUUGCAACAAAACAGGCCCAGAGCAUAAUACUAGCACCACCAUGCUUGACGAUGGACAAAGGUAACACCUUCUGGAGGAAAGUUCUGUGGUCAUUGGAGGCAAAGAUAGAGGUUCUGAAGCGGACCAACCAGAGGCGACGUAAGCAACAUCCCUGCCAGGAAAGAGACGGGCGGCGGCCUUGCAAGAGAGAGAAUCACAGCUGCUGGUAAUAUCCCACACCUCAAGAGGCAGAUCUCAGACGUCCGGAGGAAGAUGUCAACCAGCGGCAUCAGCUGGAGCAAAAAAACAGGGAUGUGCAGCGCCCACAACAUAUCCACCUGGAGCAGGAGGCAACGGGGCAGCUCGGAAAUUGGACUGUGGUAAGUCGGGGUACCGCUGACAGAUAUGGUAGCCACAAGCGCCUGCUCGCUCACGUACACCACCCCAGUCCAUAAGGAAUCAGGACACCGUUAAUGUUUUUUCCAUUUAUGAUUAAUCAUAUACCUUAUUAACUGUUAAAAGGUUGUUAACUCAACUGCAGAGUGCACCGGGCAUCAAUCAGGUGUCCAAAUUGUGGCCCAGGAAACAAAAAUGCUCAUUUUUUAUUGUUCGAGAAAUACACUUCCAAAAAAAUAAGAAUGCAAUGUAAAACGUUUUGAAACAUUUUAAACUGCUUAUUUGCAUCUUGGAUUGGUUUAAGUUUUUGUUUUUUCUGUUUUACAAAAUAAUCACACAUUUUUUGAUUUAUUAGUAGGCAGCCUUGGGUGGAGAAAUUUUGGACCCUGAUAUACAAACCCCGUUUCCAUUUGAGUUGGGGAAAUUGUGUUUGAUGUAAAUAUAAACGGAAUAAAAUGAUUUGCAAAUCGUUUUCAACCCAUAUUCUGUUGCAUAUGCUACAAAGACAACAUAUUUAAUGUUCAAACUGACAAACACUUUUUUUUUUGCAAAUAAUCAUUAACUUUAGAAUUGGAUGCCAGCAACACGUGACAGAGAAGUUGGUAAAGGUGGCAAUAAAUACUGAUAAAGUUGAGGAAAUCUCAUCAAACACUUAUUUGGAACAUCCCACAGGUGUGCAGGCUAAUUGGGAAUAGGUGGGUGCCAUGAUUGGGUAUAAAAAUAGCUUCCGUGAAAUGCUCAGUCAUUCACAAACAAGGAUUGGGAAAUGGUCACCACUUUGUGAACAAAUGCGUGAGCAAAAUGUCAAACAGUUUGAGAACAACAUUUCUUAAUGGGCUAUUGCAAGAAAUUUAGGAAUUUCACCAUCUACGGUCUGUAAAAUCAUCAAAAGGUUCAGAGAAUCUGGAGAAAUCACUGCACGUAAGCGAUGAUAUAACGGACCUUCGUUCCCUCAGGUGGUAUUGCAUCAAAAAGCGACAUCAGUGUGUAAAGGAUAUCACCACAUGGGCUCAAGAACACUUCAGAAAACCACUGUCAGUAACUACAGUUUGUCGCUACAUCUGUAAGUGCAAGUUAAAACUACUAUGCAAAGCCAAAGUCUUUUAUCAAAAACACCCAGAAACGCCGCCGGCUUCGCUUGGCCCGAGCUCAGCUAAGAUGGACUGAUGCAAAGUGGAAAAGUGUUCUGUGGUCUGACGAGUCCACAUUUCAAAUUGUUUUUUGGAAACAGUGAGCGUCGUGUCCUCUGGACCAAAGAGGAAAAUAACCAUCAGGACUGUUCUAGGUGCAAAGUUCAUAAGCCAGCAUCUGUGAUGGUAUGGGGGUGUAUUAGUGCCCAAGGCAUGGGUAACUUAGACAUCUGUGAAGGCACCAUUAAUGCUGAAAGGUACAUACAGGUUUUGGAGCAACAUAUGUUGUCAUCCAAGCAACGUUAUCUUUCACGCCCCUGCUUAUUUCAGCAAGACAAUGCCAAGUCACUUGUUACAACAGGGUGGGUUCGGAGCAAAACAGUGCGGGUACUAGACUGGCUUGCCUGUAGUCCAGACCUGUCUCCCAUUGAAAAUGUGUGGCGCAUUAUGAAGCCUAAAAUACCACAACGGAGACCCUGGACUGUUGAACAACUUAAGCUGUACAUAAAACAAGAAUGAGAAAGAAUUCCACCUGAAAAGCUUCAAAAAUGUGUGUCCUUAGUUCCCAAAGGUUUAUUGAGUGUUGUUAAAAUAAAAGGUGAUGUAGCACAAUGGUGAACAUGCCCUUUCCCAACUACGUUGGCACGUGUUGCAGCCAUGAAAUUCUAAGUUAAUUGUUUGCAAAAAAAAAAAUCAUUACUUUUGUAGUACAUGUAAUUGAAUAUGGGUUGAAAACUAUUUGCAAAUCAUUGUAUUCCGUUUAUAUUUACAUCUAACACAAUUUCCCAACUCAUAUGGAAAAUGAAUAAUAUUACAUUAUAUUUAUUUUACACAAAGAAUAAUGCUUAAUACAAGUAAUAAACAUCACACAAAUGUGUACCUUAUCACCAGAAUUUAAUUGAAUAAAAAAAUAAUUAACAUCUAUAUUAAGUACCCAUGAUUGUCACACACACAUACUAUUAUUUUCUGCAUU